rnacentral:miRNA from 1 species
GUGAAAAUUUUUACCCCGGGCAUGGCGCUUGGGCGUGCAUUGAGUCUACUUUAUUUAUUAUUAUGACAAUAAACAAAUAUUUAUUAUUUAUUUAAAUAUUAUGUCAUAAUAAUAAACAAAGUAGACUCUAUGCAUGCCCAUGCACCAUGCCCGGGGUAAAAAUUUUCAC